GCCUGGGUGGCUCAGCGGUUUAGUGCUGCCUUCAGCCCAGGGUGUGAUCCUGGAGACGUGGGAUCGAGUCCCACGUCAGGCU
rnacentral:tRNA from 1 species